rnacentral:tRNA from 1 species
GCGUCGGUGGUACAGUGGUAGAAUACUCGCCUGCCACGCGGGUGGCCCGGGUUCGAUUCCCGGCCGACGCA